ensembl:lncRNA
AGAAGAUGAUGUUGUUGGCUUGGAAAGGAGUUUCAUAAGAGAAAAAUGAACAAAAGAAAUGCUUUUCCACACUGAAGCGCAGAUCAGCUGUGGAGUCCAAAAUGCCGCUAUUUUAAAAUGUCUUCUGCAAACAAAGGCUUGUGCAUUUCCAAGCUGACCAGAGGAACACUGCAACCAUACAGAGGUCAGGAUUCAACACUGUCUAACAAGGAGAUUCAUGAGAUAGGCCUCCCACAGGCAUCCCUGGGGGGAGCAACGCUAGGUUAAUGAAGAAUGAGCUGGCUGAAAGAUGAACAUGAUUAUGUGUAAGACAACAGAUCUUAUGGAAGCAGAAGACUGUAUGGGGGACCUACACAGUGACCAACAGCAGACUAGCAGCAGAACACUGAACAAAAGGAAAACCAGACUUGUCUGUUACAUAUGUUUUCUCACAAGAAAGAGCACACGCGGGGAUUCAGUCCCCAUGUGACUUCAGGAGAAGGCAGAGGAGUUACAAAGAAGGGAUUAACUGGCAAUACAUUUGCAAUUAAGUGCUCUGCCAUCCUUGCUCUCUUUUCAGCAGCUUUACAUUUCCUUCUGUUGACGUUAUACCCCCAAGAUACCCAAAGCAGGUGGGGUGGUCGGGAACGAAGAGUCUCAUAAGCAAACGCUAAAGAGCUCCUAAUUCAAGAUGGACACUAAAACUGCUGAAAAUUUUGUAACAAAUUGUCAACUUUUUGUCCCCCUUCCAAAAGCUCCCAGAGACUCUUGCUCUUGGUGUUGGGAUCUCCUUUCUAACACAGAUAUUGUUUAAAUAUGCAAUGUUAUUUUACUUUAGUUCUCAAAUGAGUCUUUAUUUCAUCCAGAUGUUACUGCUCAUAUCCCUGUCUUCGUUUAGAGCAACACUUUGUAGAAUACCUAAUCUUUAAGUCACUUUUACUUUAAUUCACCACUAUAUUUUUAAACGACUGUGUUUGACAUAAACCACUAGCUGGUUUCACAACUGCAGCGUCUCCACCUUUGGCAAACUCUUCACUUAUUUAUUCCCUCCUCUUUUAAUGGAGUUGCUGGAACCACUUAAAAUCCAUUAAUACACUACAAAUUUCAAGCACAAAUCAUAUUUGUGUGAACUAGUGCAGUUGGAAAUGCUGAAUAACUUCUACUUCAUAUGAAAUCAAGUCCAUUGUAAAUGUGUAAUUGCGAUCCUCAAACAGCUUAAAGAUUUUCUGCAAAUACUAUGUGAAGAGUCUCUUCCUGUGAAAGAAGUGGCACUUAGCACCAAGGUAUUUUCAUCCUGUCAACACUGGCCCUGUGGUUAGCUGCUGAAGGGUUGGAGGAGAGUCUCCUCUAAAGAAAAAAAUAAACAAAGAAAAACCAUGUAUGUCACCACAGCAGAAGAUACUGCAUUUGGAUGUGUGAGCGAGCAGUGGAUCCUUUGGGAAGUGCCAACAGGGCCUCGUAAUGGCCAUGCCUCCAGAAAGCUGCUGUGGAGAGUCAAAACAAUUAAAAAGUACUUCACCCCCAUGCUCCCUGCAGGAAUUCAGAUGCUCAAGUCACUCUGUCCUUUCUGGAACACAUUAGUUUCACAACAGGUGAUGACAGCAGCCUGAGAGACAGCAAUAGGUAAGAGGAGGAAAGAGUGAGGGUGGAUGCAGGAGGGUGAGAGCACAGUGAAAGAAAUGAACAAGAGCCCAACUACCCCCGUUUGCUGCCAGAGAUAUGCUAAAGCUGACUCUUUGGAAGAGAAUAAAUCCAACCUUCCUAUUCCUCCAGUUUUUCUGACUUCUCUAUACAAGACCUGAUUGUGUUACACAAUGCUUCAUUACAGGAAAAAAAA